GACUCCAACUCAAAAAAAAAUAAAAAAAAAAGAGGCUGAUACAGAAGGGUAAAGUAAGUCUCCACAAAACCUAGUGAAGAGAUGGGAAAACUUGUCUUUGGAUCAUGUCUGGGAGUCACAGCU
rnacentral:snoRNA from 1 species